AGGAAUGCUUGUGUACAGGGGCCAUGACCUACCCAGACUCAGUCAGUACUUCUGGCUCCCAGUCCCAGACCCCAUCCUGUCCUUCAGACUGAGAUGCCUCACUAUGCACAAUAUCCUUGAGCAAUUCAAGCUCCCCACUUGAUGGCAAGACUCCUUGCUUUUCUGUUUGGGCAGAGCAUGAUCUAUGUCUCCAAGGAGUCCCUCCUCUUCUGGUGGAGCCUACCUCUUAACUGCUUAGCACUUCCUGCAGGAAGGCAGCCACCACCCUAUCCCUACAAAGGGUAUUCCCCUACACUCAAAGGACAGUAGGGCUACUUAUGUCCAGGAAGGCCCAGGUCCUCCUUUGGGGAAUCCAUCAGUUGAAGCUUCUUACCAGUCCUAUGGCUUUGGAAAUAAUGAACUCCCCCACUGCUCAUUCCACCAAUGGGAGUCCUCAGAAGGCCCCAGCCCCAUUAUGCCCUCAAGAUGAGAUCAGUGGGUUCUGAGCACUGAGAAUUCCAGAUUGGCGGUUGUGGAGUGGGUGACAGUUGAUGGAAGGAAGGGACUCUAUUUUGUGACAUGUCAUGAGCAUCGUUGUCUUCCAUCAAAGAAUAGUCCCAACACCGAAUUGUCUGUUCCCCACUUCAUAUGGGGAACUCACAGAACAGCCCCCAGGAAAGGGCCCUCACACCCUCAGGAGUUUCUGUUUAUGCAGUGAGUUGUUACAAAGCCAUUUAUGGAUUAUUUCAGUGGGUUGUUACAAAGCCAUUUAUGGAUAAUUUCUCCUUCUUCCUUCUCCCUUCUCCUUCUCCUUCUUUUUCUUCUUCUAUUUUUUUAAUUGUCAGUGGACCUUCAUUUUAUUAAUUAUUGAUGUGGUGUGCUUAGAAUCAAACACAGUGCCUCACACAUGCUAGGCUAGUUGUCUACCACUGUGCCACAAUCCCAGCCCUUUACAUGGAUUUUUCAGAGAGGAGUGGGGUAGAGAACACAGUGAUCUUUGGACAGCCUUGUCAUCAAGAAGUUUCUGACCAAGUUGUCAGAGAGACAAACAGCUCCAAAAUUUCAUGUAGUCGAAACCUCCUUCUGUGGCUCUUCCAAUGUCUCUUUUCUUUCUUCUACCAGUGUUUCUUGGGCAUCAUCUGUCCCUGUGGGUGCUCUCCUUUAUCCUGUAUUUCUUUCCAGCUUCAUCUUCUUCCCCAUCCUUCAGACACCAUUCCCUUCUGGGCAUCCCAGAGCCCACUAAGAACUCUGGACUUUUGCCCAAACUACUCCUUCACUCAGGAGUGCCUCUCACCACAUUUCUAGCUCUGAACACAUCCUCGUCCUCCCACAUGGUCAAAACUCCAACUCAGCAGCACUCUGAUGCUACCUGAUGGUACUGAAUCAAUCCCAGCACCCUAUGGUCUCCAUUUGGAGGAGACUUGGAGACCUGUUUAAUUCAGCUUCCAUCAGAUAAUGGAGUAAUGAGAUUAGUACUUUCCUACUCACCUCCAAAUCCCUGAAAAUUGCUGGAAUUCAGGGGGACUUGCUUACCAUCUCCUGGAGCAUCUGGAUUCAUUUUGGACCAGCUCAGUUAGAGGGAAAUUUUCUCAUGAAGCCUAUGGCAGCCUCCAAUAGCUAGUACCACUGGUCCUGGCUUGGAUCCUUGGCACCAUUGAGUUCCUCCCAUUUUCUUCAGUAGCCAGAAUGAGCCUUGACAGCAUAGAUCAUGCUAGUCUGCUCCCACAUGCAGUGACUUCCCAUAGUCCUCAGGUGAAAAACCACAAUCCUUGACCAAGGCCUCCAAAUGCCUGAAUAUUCUCAUCAGCCACUCCCAUGUGUCUCUUCCCCCUUCUUGUGAAUCUUGUCUCUCAGAUAUUCAUAGAGAUCCUUUACUCAUUUAUUUUAGUUCCCUGCUCAAGUGUCUCUUUAUCCCUGUUUUUCUUUGCCUGCUUUGUGUGUGUGUGUGUGUGUGUGUGUGUGUGUGUGUGUAUAUAUAUAUAUAUAAAUCUGUAUCCAUUGGUAUGGAAACCUGUUAAAUUAAAGAAAAGAAAGAUAUAGGCAAUUCAAAGUGUGAAACUGCCAUGAAGGGAUUGAAGCAGGUAAAAUAAAAGAGACAAUUUUGGUGUAUAAAGAAUGUUAGACUUCAUCCAGGAAGGUUCAGUUGAGGUGUGGACAUGGGACCUGAGCCCUAGGAGAUGAUGAGUUAGCCAGUGAAGAUGGAUGCAGUGAGGAAAAACUGCAAUGAUCCUGAGCCAGAUACAAGCCAGCCCUCCUAGACUUAUUACUUAUCUACUACAUUCCAAAAGCACAUAGCAGAGCUAAUCUUGUUAAACUACAAGAAAAAGAAAAGACCACUGAGUCCAAUUUAAUUCAAAUUAAAGCAAGCUUGUUAUUUCGACCCUCUAGGACUGUUUCUCUCCAGAAACCUGUGGUAAUAGAAGACAGUGCUAUGACUCUGUAAUAGCACAGUUUUAUACAACAAAAAGUUUCAAAAGGGAGAUGUCUUGAGAACUUACAGAUAACAGGGUUUUGACAAGUGUAAUAGAAAGGUAGGCAAUAGGUUAAUGGUAUAAAUGGUUCAGCACUUAGG
rnacentral:lncRNA from 1 species